GUGGGGAAUAUUGGACAAUGGGCGAAAGCCUGAUCCAGCCAUGCCGCGUGUGUGAAGAAGGUCUUCGGAUUGUAAAGCACUUUAAGUUGGGAGGAAGGGCAGUAAGUUAAUACCUUGCUGUUUUGACGUUACCGACAGAAUAAGCACCGGCUAACUUCGUGCCAGCAGCCGCGGUAAUACGAAGGGUGCAAGCGUUAAUCGGAAUUACUGGGCGUAAAGCGCGCGUAGGUGGUUUUGUAAGUUGGAGGUGAAAUCCCCGGGCUCAACCUGGGAACUGCCUCCAAAACUGCAUGACUAGAGUACGGUAGAGGGUAGUGGAAUUUCCUGUGUAGCGGUGAAAUGCGAAGAUAUAGGAAGGAACACCAGUAGCGAAGGCGACUACCUGGGCUGAUACUGAAACUGAGGUGCGAAAGCGUGGGGAGCAAACAGAAUUAGAAACCCCUGUAGUCC
rnacentral:rRNA from 1 species